AUCAGGAGCACAAGAAGGGUUCCUUCAAAACCCUAAAACCCAAAAAUUCAACAAAAUCAAAGGGAAAUAGAGCUAGAGAAUUGGGGCUUUAACUAAAUUCGUGAUCACCCCAGUAAAGGGAUCAUAAGACAAAGGAAUCGAGUCUUUAAGCGGACAAACCGGAGUGGACACGCGCUUGAAGGGAAUGCUUUAAAGGUGAAUGUCAAGAGUCCCGGAUGAAGAUCAAGCAUCGAGCAAGAACCGAACACGCGUUAAAUGAAGCUUCCGCAAGUUGUUUCGUCGUUAUUCUAAAACGAUGAAUUAAAUUACAUUAUGUUGUUUUGCUUUCAAGUUUAGUAAAGUUUUAAUAAACCCGUAAUUGAGCAUGAAUGUUUAAAUAUUAAUACUCAGUAAUUUGCGAUUAUUUACAGA